rnacentral:rRNA from 1 species
UCGACGGCAGCACAGGAGAGCUUGCUCUCUGGGUGGCGAGUGGCGGACGGGUGAGGAAUACAUCGGAAUCUACCUUUUCGUGGGGGAUAACGUAGGGAAACUUACGCUAAUACCGCAUACGACCUACGGGUGAAAGUGGGGGACCGCAAGGCCUCACGCGAUUAGAUGAGCCGAUGUCCGAUUAGCUAGUUGGCGGGGUAAUGGCCCACCAAGGCGACGAUCGGUAGCUGGUCUGAGAGGAUGAUCAGCCACACUGGAACUGAGACACGGUCCAGACUCCUACGGGAGGCAGCAGUGGGGAAUAUUGGACAAUGGGCGCAAGCCUGAUCCAGCCAUACCGCGUGGGUGAAGAAGGCCUUCGGGUUGUAAAGCCCUUUUGUUGGGAAAGAAAUCCUGUCGAUUAAUACUCGGUGGGGAUGACGGUACCCAAAGAAUAAGCACCGGCUAACUUCGUGCCAGCAGCCGCGGUAAUACGAAGGGUGCAAGCGUUACUCGGAAUUACUGGGCGUAAAGCGUGCGUAGGUGGUGGUUUAAGUCUGCUGUGAAAGCCCUGGGCUCAACCUGGGAAUUGCAGUGGAUACUGGAUCACUAGAGUGUGGUAGAGGGAUGCGGAAUUUCUGGUGUACCAGUGAAAUGCGUAG